GACGAACGCUGGCGGCGUGCUUAACACAUGCAAGUCGAACGGAAAGGCCCUGCUUUUGUGGGGUGCUCGAGUGGCGAACGGGUGAGUAACACGUGAGUAACCUGCCCUUGACUUUGGGAUAACUUCAGGAAACUGGGGCUAAUACCGGAUAGGAGCUCCUGCUGCAUGGUGGGGGUUGGAAAGUUUCGGCGGUUGGGGAUGGACUCGCGGCUUAUCAGCUUGUUGGUGGGGUAGUGGCUUACCAAGGCUUUGACGGGUAGCCGGCCUGAGAGGGUGACCGGCCACAUUGGCACUGAGAUACGGCCCAGACUCCUACGGGAGGCAGCAGUGGGGAAUAUUGCACAAUGGGCGGAAGCCUGAUGCAGCAACGCCGCGUGCGGGAUGACGGCCUUCGGGUUGUAAACCGCUUUCGCCUGUGACGAAGCGUGAGUGACGGUAAUGGGUAAAGAAGCACCGGCUAACUACGU
rnacentral:rRNA from 1 species